CUCUGUGAAUCAUUCUAGUUAUUCUGCAAAUGAUGAUCAUCUAGACUGGUUAAAUACGAAGUUUGUUCAAUAUAUUUUGGAUUGGCAAGUAGUAAACGUUUAAAGAGGUUGGGUAUGGUGUGAAUGUGAUAUGGCAAUGAAAAGCGAUAAAACAAAAUAAGGUGGUAACACUUCUUACGGCAC